GGAGAGAUGUCCGAGCGGACGAAGGAGCCCGACUCGAAAUCGGGUAGGCGGGUCAUACUCGUCUCGAGGGUUCGAAUCCCUCUCUCUCCGCCA
rnacentral:tRNA from 1 species